rnacentral:rRNA from 1 species
AGUGAACGCUGGCGGUAGGCCUAACACAUGCAAGUCGAACGGCAGCACAGUAAGAGCUUGCUCUUACGGGUGGCGAGUGGCGGACGGGUGAGGAAUACAUCGGAAUCUACUUUUUCGUGGGGGAUAACGUAGGGAAACUUACGCUAAUACCGCAUACGACCUACGGGUGAAAGCAGGGGAUCUUCGGACCUUGCGCGAUUGAAUGAGCCGAUGUCGGAUUAGCUAGUUGGCGGGGUAAAGGCCCACCAAGGCGACGAUCCGUAGCUGGUCUGAGAGGAUGAUCAGCCACACGGGAACUGAGACACGGUCCAGACUCCUACGGGAGGCAGCAGUGGGGAAUAUUGGACAAUGGGCGCAAGCCUGAUCCAGCCAUACCGCGUGGGUGAAGAAGGCCUUCGGGUUGUAAAGCCCUUUUGUUGGGAAAGAAAAGCAGCAGGUUAAUACCCCGCUGUUCUGACGGUACCCAACGAAUAAGCACCGGCUAACUUCGUG